rnacentral:rRNA from 1 species
CGGAGGAAAAGAAACUAACAAGGAUUCCCCUAGUAACGGCGAGUGAAGCGGGAAGAGCUCAAAUUUGAAAUCUGGCAGUCUUCGAUUGUCCGAGUUGUAAUCUAUAGAGGCGUUUUCCGUGCCGGACCGUGUCCAAGUCUCCUGGAAAGGAGUAUCAAAGAGGGUGAUAAUCCCGUACUUAACACGACCACCGGUGCUCUGUGAUACGUCUUCUACGAGUCGAGUUGUUUGGGAAUGCAGCUCAAAAUGGGUGGUGAAUUCCAUCUAAAGCUAAAUAUUGGCGAGAGACCGAUAGCGAACAAGUACCGUGAGGGAAAGAUGAAAAGCACUUUGGAAAGAGAGUUAAACAGUACGUGAAAUUGUUGAAAGGGAAACGAUUGAAGUCAGUCGUGUUCUUUGGAUUCAGCCAGUUCUGCUGGUCUACUUCCUUGGAACGGGUCAACAUCAGUUUUGUCCGGUGGAUAAAGGUAGUAGGAAUGUGACUUCUCCGGAAGUGUUAUAGCCUAUUAUCACAUACACUGGGUGAGACUGAGGACUGCAGCUCGCCUUUAUGGCCGGCCUUCGGGCACGUUCGAGCUUAGGAUGUUGACAUAAUGGCUUUAAACGACCCGUCUUG